GCUGGCGGCGUGCUUAACACAUGCAAGUCGAACGCGCAGCAUUCUGUAGCAAUACAGGCUGUGGGCGCGUGGCGAACGGGUGCGUAACACGUGGAUAACCUUCCUUGAGGUGGGGAAUAACCCAGUGAAAAUUGGGCUAAUACCGCAUAACAUCGCGAUGGCACAUGCUGAUGCGAUCAAAGGCGCAAGUCGCCACAAGAGGGAUCCGCGGCCGAUUAGCUUGUUGGCGAGGUAAUGGCUCACCAAGGCAAUGAUCGGUAGCCGGACUGAGAGGUUGGCCGGCCACACUGGAACUGAGACACGGUCCAGACUCCUACGGGAGGCAGCAGUGGGGAAUCUUGCACAAUGGACGAAAGUCUGAUGCAGCAACGCCGCGUGGGGGAUGAAACUUCUCGGAGUGUAAACCCCUUUCGACCCGGAAGAAUGCCCGCAAGGGUAUGACGGUACGGGUAUAAGAAGCCCCGGCUAACUACGUGCCAGCAGCCGCGGUAAUACGUAGGGGGCCAGCGUUGCUCGGAAUUACUGGGCGUAAAGGGUCCGUAGGCGGUGUAGCAAGUCGAUAGUGAAAUCUCUGGGCUUAACCCAGAGGCUGCUAACGAAACUGCUGUGCUAGAGUGUGAGGAGAGGCGAGUGGAAUU
rnacentral:rRNA from 1 species